CUCAACCUUCCAUACGAAGGAAUAAACCAUGCGUUUGGUGGGAGUUCCAUCCAGUCAGAAAGUCCUGCAGUUGUACCGUCAAAUUUUGAAGCAAGGAAGGUCAUUACGAUAUACAGAUUUCGAAUUCUUUCGAAGAUCCAUAAGAAGAGAGUUUGAACAACAAAAAGAUGAGGUGGAAGCCAAGGUUAUUAAGGAACAGUACGAGAAAGGGAUGUAUUUUCUGGAGACAAAAUUAGGUGGGUUGCAAUGAUGGAGACAACAUGAAAAUUCAGGAAUAACAUGCUGUCAUAGGAGAAGUCGCUGCCUAAGAACAAGUGGCUUGGGUUCCUGUGUUUAGGAAUCCUGUGUAGAGGAGUUGUUUAAAGUGUUUCAUAACACAGUCUAUGGGACCCUUGAGCAGUGGCAGUUUUCGAGGGACUGUUCGAGAAGCAGUGUUAUGCCUAUUUAAAAAAUUCAGAUAAGAGGUUUAUUUAGCAGAGGUUAUAAGUCCACUAGUGUGUUUGUUCCAUGCAUGAUGUUAAGCUCAAUGCAUUGCAACCAGAACAGAAACAAUUUCAUUUAAUUUCUUCUUGUUUUCUUGUUAUAUACUUGCAAUUUUGAAACUUGUGCACCUUGGUAAAAUUUUGAUCUAUUAAAAAUGCAUCUAUUUGCAAUAAACAUUUCAUUCAUUUAAA